rnacentral:rRNA from 1 species
UACGUAGGGAGCAAGCGUUGUCCGGAAUCAUUGGGCGUAAAGCGCGCGUAGGUGGCCAUGUAAGUCCGCUGUGAAAGUCAAAGGCUCAACCUUUGAAAGCCGGUGGAUACUGUGAGGCUAGAGUACGGAAGAGGCGAGUGGAAUUCCUGGUGUAGCGGUGGAAUGCGCAGAUAUCAGGAGGAACACCAAUAGCGAAGGCAGCUCGCUGGGACGUUACUGACACUGAGGCGCGAAAGCGUGGGGAGCGAACAGG